CGCGGGGUGAACAGUCCGGUAGCUCGUCGGGCUUAUAACCCGAAGGCCGUUGGCUUAAGUCCAUCCCCCGCAGCCA
rnacentral:tRNA from 1 species